UUUUAUACCCCGUCGGUAUCGUCCACUUUACCAACUUCACGAAGAAGAGCUACUCUCAUGUCUAAUUAAAAUCAACAAACGUUAUCUUAUUAGACGGGCCAUUUCAUUAUCCGCGGAAAUUGAUAAGAUUGAAUCGUCUCAGAUUUAUCUGUUAUAUUUUCCCUCUAUAAACUUCGAAGGCCGCUGGAAAGAUGUAUUGAAUCAAGUAGAUGCUUAUGCAUUCAACCAAAUUGAGGUUGAAUUUAUAACCUCGGUUAAAGCGGAUCUAAAUUUGAAUAAAGUGGAUCCUUAUGCAUCCAGCCAAUUGGAGAUUAUGAAAUGUGGAGCCCAUUUGGUAUUGGAGCAAGACAUUGAAGAUCUCAAACAAUCUAAGGUUGGGUCUAGCAGUUGCAUAAUCACUCCAUAUGAGGAUAAUGAUUUAGACGAUUCAGAGAAAGAUUCUAAAAUUAAGGGAAGCCCAGAUGCCAAACCACCACAUCUGAAGUGGAUAGGAAGCUGGUACAGACAAUUGUACCACCGUCUUUGAGCGUCUCUGGAGUUGAUUCUGAUGAUGAUGGAGUGGAACUGGGUUUGGUGCUAUUUUUGUUUGGCUACAAGGAAACUUGAGGUACCAGUUGGAGCUAUGCCAGAAAGCUUUGGAGGAGAAUAUUAUUGUUUAUUUGGGGACAACCACAUUGCUGUACUACUUAUACAUGAGCUGGGUCACUUGAUAAGGAAGCCCCAGAAGAGCAUAUGCAUAUGCAUAAGGAAGCCCCAGAAGA